UCUGCUAGGGGCAAGGACUCAGGUGUGGACAAAACUGAAAUGGUCUUUGUCCUCAGAAAGACAAACAAGACAAAUAAACAAACAAAAAAAGAUAUCAAAUUGUGAUAAAAGCUACAAAGUAAAGGAACUGGGGGCUAGGAUUGAGAAUCACAGUGGGUGCCUACUUGAGACCAGGCCUUCAGGGAAGGAGUCUGAGAACCGAAGGAUGAGUUGGGGUGGCCAAUGAAGAGGGGGCAGAGGAUAGAAGAGCUUCAUGUAUUUUAGAGACAAGGAAGGCCGUGUGGCUGCACCGUGAUCAGCAGGGCAAGAGGCACGGAGAGCUUGGGGAGGCUCUAGGGGUCAGACCGUGCCUUGUGAGCAACGGGGAAGAGUCUGGAUUUCAUUCUAAGUACACUGGGAAGCCACCGAAGACUUUUAAGAAAGGUGGGCCCUAAUCUGGUAUGACUGGCAUCCCUGUAAGAAGAUAUGAAGACACAGGUGCACAUACCCGUUAGGAAGACCAUGUGAAGACACAGGGAGAAGACAGCUACCCACGAGCCAAGAAGACAGGCCUCAGAAGAAAUACCCUACUGACCCCAGGAUCUCAGACUUUCAGCCUCCAGAAAUAUUUACAGAAAAACUGAGCAGAUGGUACAGAGAGUUCCCAUAUACCCCUCUCCUCUGCACAUGUUUUGAAGUUUUAUUCCAUUAUUCCAACAUAACUUUUACCACCAAAGGAAACUGUUCCUAGAGUCAAAAGAGAAUCUAUGCAUUUCUACCUGUUUCUCCCUCAACACAGAGAGAUGGUCUCAGUUUGGGAAAACUUCGUAAUGACACAGGUGAGCACAACUUCUCUCUCAACCCCCUUUCCCACCAACUUGUCACCUUUCCUUUGACAGAACUAGUUUUACUCUUCUUCACUUAGCCUGGCCAACUCCUUUCAUGCCUCAAAACUUAGUUCACGUGUUCCCCCCUCCCAGAAGCCUAUCCUGACCAGCCACUCACCCUGCCCCCACUGGGCCCAUGGCACCCUUAUCCCUUCCCAUCUCAGAGGGGGGAAAGUGUUCUUCAUGAAUGUGUCAUCCCCCCCUCCCAUGACACCAUAAUCAAAUGAAGGGCAGGGACCCUGGUUUAUUGUGUCUGUAUUCCUAGUACCCAGAAAACUGUUUAGUUUAAAAUAUUCCACAAAUAUUUUUUCAGCUGAACAGAAAGUGAUUGGUGAGAAAGAUGAAAGUAAAGAAAAAAAGGGAAGGAGGGAAGGGAUGGAGGAAAGCAAAGGAGGGAGGAAGGAAGGGAUGGAGGAAAGCAAAGGAGGGAGGAAGGAAGGAAGGAAAGUGUUCUUGGGAAUUCAGGACUUAAUAAACUCAAAGCCAGUCAGCAAGACUGCCUGCUAAUUGCAGAUCACAGCCCGCUAGGAAGAGGAAUCACAUGGCAGAUUGCAGAAGGUACUUAGAGGACACAGGGGGAAGGACAGUAACAGGAGCAGCUGCUUGCGGUGAACUGCCGUCUAACAAGGCAGCCAGGGAGGCACUGGGUGCAUACUGAGGGCUGGAGGGAAAACAGAUCAUCUCCUGUGUACAUGGCCCAUAUCCCUGACCCCUCCAUUAGAGUGACCUAUUGUGUGUGAAUGUGAAUUUGACAUGUAAUCUAUAGACUUUGGGGUUGAAUCCAAUUUUGUCCACCUGGUAGAUGAGUGUUGUUUAAAUGAUCUGUAUUCUCCCUGGAGGUCAUAAUUCUACUUAAGUGGUAACUGGGUCUUAUUCAGCUAUUCCAAUUCUUAUAGCUCCUAUGAUGUCUUCAUACAACAGACUCAGUGUUAUACAUUUGUUGUGCUUGACAAAUAGGAUCUACUCAAGGUUUUGCCAUGAACUGGUUUUGUGACAUUGAAGAAAUCAUGUAACUUCUCUGGACCUCCAUUUUCUGUCUAGGGGCACUGAAAUGAUCUAUUUGACUUCUCCAGAAAACUCCAGGGAUGUGGGGUGGGGGGCCUGAAAACAAAGCAAGGAGCUUGGAGUAGAGUGUCCACCUUUAACAUUCUACGAUCCUAAACCUUCCUUGCUGCCGGCAUCCUGAGGACUUCCCCUUGAUGCUAAUCUGACGAGUGCCUCCUUGGUGGCUUCCCUCCCCUCCCUUGCAUUGUACAAACAGUGUGUGUUGUGCGUAUGUGUGUGUGUUGGGGGAAACUUUUCUCUAUCAAAGAUGACUGAUGCACAGGAAGAAGUACUAUGGUUUAUAUACAAAUUAAAAAGGCAAUUUAAUAGAAUUGCUAUUUUCUUGAGAAGAUUGCCUCAUUUUUAAAUACAAAUAAUAGAAUACAUCAUCCUAUCAAAUAUUCUUUAAUUCCAAAUUGUAAGCCAGUUAGUAGAGAAAAGGAGAAGUGAGAUAGGAAAGAAGGAAGGGAGAAGAGAGGAAGAUGGAUGCCAAGCAGAGGAGUAAAGAGAAAGAGGCAGAAGAGAAUAGAGGGAGGAAAGACGGGGAGAGGAGAAGAAAGAGAAGUGGAGACAGCAGAGAGCAGCAUGGGAGACAGAAGAAAACUGAGUCUGAAUGCCCUUCAUAGGCCCUGCUCCUCCCUCCCCAGGGCUGUCGUCUUUCAUCUUUGGGUUAUUUGUUCUCACUUGCCUUCAAAGUCUAAGUCUCUAACUCAUCACUGUCCACAACCCAAGCCUUCAUCUGUACUUUGAGUGACUUAAGGAUUAAAUCCACUGUAGGAACUUUGGUCAUAUAAGGGAGGAAUUCUUCUUUGGGCCGUAGGGGCAGUGACAAGAGCAAUGUUUAUUCCAGUGCCCUCGGACAUCAAGCAAACCCAGUCAGAGGGCUGGGCUUUUCCUCCCCUAAAUGGAGGCAAAGCCACCUGUGUGUUGCUGAAUUUUCCCCCUAAACAGUGACUGUUUUGGUGUUAUUGCCAAAAAAAACGACCUCUGUACCCCGACAGACAAAUUGAAAGUUGGAGGCAGAGUUUUGGGAGGAUUAGAAAAGAACAGCUUUAUUGCUUUGCCAGGCAGAGGAGGUUACAUCAGGCUAGUGCCUUAAAGAUUGUGAGCCCUGGGAUUUUAUAGAAAAAUGGGUACAGAAGAGUGAUAACAGUCAAAGUGUGAGCAGGGGCUACAUUCCUUCCAUCUUGACAGGAACUUGCUGUUGUUACAGAGGAAUUUAGGUGGGUCUGCCCAUUUUCUUGAGGAUAAGUCCAUGACCUCAUUUCAAGACCUCUAGGGUAAAAGGAUAAGUUAUUCUAAGAAAAGAAUGCACAGGGAAUGGGGCAUGUCAGUCAUAAGAUCAUUUUAGCCAGAAGUACAGGUCUGAGCAACUCAGUAGCCACCUUGUUAGUUCUCUACUCUUUCAGUGUCUGGAAAUGUGGUCAGCAUAUCCAUUCAGUGUCAUGUCAUUCAUGGAGUAAGGAGAGGGAUUCAUAGAUGCAUAUGGUACCAAAGCCUCCACGUCUGGUUGUGUGGGUUGUUCACUGAACAAGGGUGUCUGGCUCCAGAGAUGCCCAUAUCCACUCAUUAAGCCAAGCACCCAGCAAAAGCCAUGUCUACUUGGAGGAAGUGAUGCCUUUUCCUAAUUGGCCCAAAGGCAUCAGUGAUCCUACAUGACCCAGAGUUCAAUUAGAGCAGGGUUGCUUAUUUAUCUGAAGGAGGCUGCAAGAUUGUGGGCAGCUCUCAAGGCUUAAUCUGCACAUGGGCUCCAGUACCUCCAAGAUGGCAGUGGGAGAGGAGGGUGGCCUACCCUAAAUUUCACACCCAUGUUACAUUUGCUCUCUGGCUUGAUCCUCAUCACAGCCCCAUAGGUAGGUAAGGCAGGUGUUCCCUAUUUUCAGAUGAGGACACCACUUUUUAGAGAGACUGAAACAUAUGAAAGGUAUGUAAGAGAAGUAAACUUGGGAAUUUAGCACAUUACUAGGCAUAGACGUUUCAAUGAACAAAGGACCGUGGGAGCCAAGAACAGACAUCCGUUAUAUAGGAUCUGAGUCAGAUGCUCUUGCUGACUUGCUGAAGAGGAAUUUGGGGCUGCUGCCAAGUCCCUCUCAUAUCUAAUUUUGGUCACUGUCAGGCAAGGAUGGGUCUUCCUUAAAGGACUACCAGGAGUGGACGACCCAGAGAAUUGAGGUCCUUCCUCAAGGAACAGUCCCCUCUUUACCCUGGGAGGGGGCACUUCUGAAGCCUGAGUCUACAUGACUCUGGGUCCCUGGCCCACACCAGAGGGUGCUGAUGGAGGUCCUCAGAGAGAGCUCCAGAAAGAGUCAUGCAUCCCCUUGUGACCACUAGAGGGUGCAGGCAAGGAACUGCCUCUGAGCACUAUAGAGAUGCUGAACAGAUGGGAUCAGUGAUAGAGCCAAGGUAUGGGGGCAGUUCUUACAUAAGGGAACGCUCCAAGAGCAGUCAUUGAGGAAGGAGUGGACAUUGAAGUGAAGGGGCCAAUAGUUGGUCAGUGUCUCUCAAAGGGUUUCCUGGAGAAGGCAAACAGAUCAGUUCAAUCAUGCUCCUUGUCCUUAAAAAGUGAAUCAUCUAGUGGUCAAGGUGGGGGCCUCUUCUUCCACAUGUUCAGUCUGACAGGGCAGGAAGGUAUCGUUAAGGAUUAAAUGGGUGCUGCUACUGUGGAAAACAGUAUGGAGAUUCCUCAAAAGACUAGGAAUAGACUUACCAUAUGACCCACUCAU